rnacentral:tRNA from 1 species
GCGCUGGUCCGGAUGACCGGGCCGAUGCGCGCCGCCAUCCGUGCGGCGCCGGGCGGCAGCAGAACGGGGGGCUGCUGGUUCGGCAGCGGCUCGGCGCGC